CUUUGUCCCAUGAAGUCACUCUCACCAUUUCUCUUUCCCUCUGAACUUGAACAAACAGCAAACAACACAUGCUUUUUAUUGCUAUUCUGGAAAAGAAGAGCUGUUUCCAAUGAAAGCCCAUGCCAAGCAGAGUCCCUCUUUUUCCAAGAGGUUUUGGGAAUGAGUGAAUUUAUUUUCAGCCAACAAGCAGGAAAAUAAAUGCCAAAUGGAGGUUGCUUCAUAGAAAACCAAUGCAGGAAGGGACCUGAGAGAUGAUCGCCUCUGACCAGCCAAUGCAGAUGUUUAAAGGAGAUGAUAAAAAUGCUGCAACCCAGAUAAUGAUCACCUUACUCUUCAAAAAUACUGCCCAAGUUCUUUGUUCAAGAUGCCAAGAACCUGGAUACCCUCCACUGGUAACAAAUAUGACUUUGUUUUUAGCAAGCAACUUUGCAGUGUAAUUAAGUUAAGGAUCUUGAGAUGAGAUCAUCUUGGAAUAUCUGGGUGGGCCCUAAAUCCAAUGACAAGUGUCCUCAUAGGAAGGGAAGAUACACACAGAGGAGAAGGUGGUGUGAAGAUGGAAGCCAAGACUGUUGAUACCAGUUGGAGAGCACCAAGAACUACCCGCAGCCACUGAAAGCUAGGAGAGAGGCAUAGGACUGUCUCCUUCAGACCCUCCAGAAAGACCAAACCUGCCCGUGCCUUGAUUUCAGACUUUUGGCCUCCCACAUUGUGAGAGAAUAAAAUUUUGUUUUUGAAGCCA
rnacentral:lncRNA from 1 species